GCGACCUUGCGGGCCGCCCAGCUGUGGGGCCUCCGCUGGCCUCUCCCUGCACAGGGCGGCCACUAGUGCGGCCCCUGCCUGGACGUGACUGGAGGACAGAAGCCGAACUCCCCGUGCCCUGUCUUGCUUCAUCCGUCGGUUCAUUCAUGUGUUCAUUCAUUUAACACAACUCCGAACGCCUUCCAUGUUAACAGGUAGUGCUCCAGGCGUUUCGGAUACAUAAGUGACAGACUAUGGUAUGACAAACCUAUGGUAUGUCAGAUGCGGGAAGAGAAGAUUAGGAUAUGGACACACACAGGAGAAGACCACAUAAAGAUACAGGGAGAAGAUAGCAGUCUGCAAGCCCAGGAAACCAGCCCUCAGAGGGAACCA